rnacentral:rRNA from 1 species
CAAGGUUAACCGCAUAGGGGAGCCGGAGGGAAACCGAGUCUUAAUUGGGCGUUAAGUUGCAGGGUAUAGACCCGAAACCCGGUGAUCUAGCCAUGGGCAGGUUGAAGGUUGGGUAACACUAACUGGAGGACCGAACCGACUAAUGUUGAAAAAUUAGCGGAUGACCUGUGGCUGGGGGUGAAAGGCCAAUCAAACCGGGAGAUAGCUGGUUCUCCCCGAAAGCUAUUUAGGUAGCGCCUCGUGAAUUCAUCUCCGGGGGUAGAGCACUGUUUCGGCCAGGGGGCCAUCCCGGCUUACCAAUCCGAUGCAAACUGCGAAUACCGGAGAAUGUUAUCACGGGAGACACACGGCGGGUGCUAACGUCCGUCGUGAAGAGGGAAACAACCCAGACCGCCAGCUAAGGUCCCAAAGUCAUGGUUAAGUGGGAAACGAUGUGGGAAGGCCCAGACAGCCAGGAUGUUGGCUUAGAAGCAGCCAUCAUUUAAAGAAAGCGUAAUAGCUCACUGGUCGAGUCGGCCUGCGCGGAAGAUGUAACGGGGCUAAACCAU